GACGAACGCUGGCGGCGUGCUUAACACAUGCAAGUCGAACGGAAAGGCCCUGCUUUUGUGGGGUGCUCGAGUGGCGAACGGGUGAGUAACACGUGAGUAACCUGCCCUUGACUUUGGGAUAACUUCAGGAAACUGGGGCUAAUACCGGAUAGGAGCUCCUGCUGCAUGGUGGGGGUUGGAAAGUUUCGGCGGUUGGGGAUGGACUCGCGGCUUAUCAGCUUGUUGGUGGGGUAGUGGCUUACCAAGGCUUUGACGGGUAGCCGGCCUGAGAGGGUGACCGGCCACAUUGGGACUGAGAUACGGCCCAGACUCCUACGGGAGGCAGCAGUGGGGAAUAUUGCACAAUGGGCGGAAGCCUGAUGCAGCAACGCCGCGUGCGGGAUGACGGCCUUCGGGUUGUAAACCGCUUUCGCCUGUGACGAAGCGUGAGUGACGGUAAUGGGUAAAGAAGCACCGGCUAACUACGUGCCAGCAGCCGCGGUGAUACGUAGGGUGCGAGCGUUGUCCGGAUUUAUUGGGCGUAAAGGGCUCGUAGGUGGUUGAUCGCGUCGGAAGUGUAAUCUUGGGGCUUAACCCUGAGCGUGCUUUCGAUACGGGUUGACUUGAGGAAGGUAGGGGAGAAUGGAAUUCCUGGUGGAGCGGUGGAAUGCGCAGAUAUCAGGAGGAACACCAGUGGCGAAGGCGGUUCUCUGGGCCUUUCCUGACGCUGAGGGGCGAAAGCGUGGGGAGCGAACAGGCUUAGAUACCCUGGUAGUCCACGCUGUAAACGGUGGGUACUAGGUGUGGGGUCCAUUCCACGGGUUCCGUGCCGUAGCUAACGCUUUAAGUACCCCGCCUGGGGAGUACGGCCGCAAGGCUAAAACUCAAAGGAAUUGACGGGGCCCCGCACAAGCGGCGGAGCAUGCGGAUUAAUUCGAUGCAACGCGUAGAACCUUACCUGGGUUUGACAUGGAUCGGGAGUGCUCAGAGAUGGGUGUGCCUCUUUUGGGGUCGGUUCACAGGUGGUGCAUGGCUGUCGUCAGCUCGUGUCGUGAGAUGUUGGGUUAAGUCCCGCAACGAGCGCAACCCUUGUUCACUGUUGCCAGCACGUUAUGGUGGGGACUCAGUGGAGACCGCCGGGGUCAACUCGGAGGAAGGUGGGGAUGACGUCAGGUCAUCAUGCCCCUUAUGUCCAGGGCUUCACGCAUGCUACAAUGGCUGGUACAGAGAGUGGCGAGCCUGUGAGGGUGAGCGAAUCUCGGAAAGCCGGUCUCAGUUCGGAUUGGGGUCUGCAACUCGACCUCAUGAAGUCGGAGUCGCUAGUAAUCGCAGAUCAGCAACGCUGCGGUGAAUACGUUCCCGGGGCU
rnacentral:rRNA from 1 species